rnacentral:lncRNA from 1 species
AGGGUAUUCUGGAUGAAGCCACCUAAAAGGACAUUGGAGCCAAACCUUUAAACAGAAGGUACACAUGUCCUUGAAACAAAUCUGGGAAAGGAAAGAAAUAACUUCUUCGUGGACAUGGACUCUGCUGGCACAGUUUAACCCUACUGCCCCACUCAGUCUGAUACAUCUGCAUAAACUUUAUACUCUUGCAGAAUGGGUAUUUUUAAGGAUUUCUGUAGCCAAUAAUCACAGUCCUGCUGCAGCCAUUGCUGGGUUAUUUUCCCGAGCUGCCAAGGAUCCAACUGUGCUCAUUUGGGAUUUGUCUGCAUGGAGUUUCCUGUAA